rnacentral:lncRNA from 1 species
CACCCUUGGCACUGCACUCUCCAAAGAGGACCAUGGCUCAGGGAAGAGCAGAGCCAGCCAGGGGAGAAUGUGGAGGCAGAAGAAGACAAUAGUUGCCUUGGAAGAGCUGUGACUACUAGAAAAGUACUGUCCUGUAUCCUGGAGGGACACCAGAUGGAACCAAAAGACCAUGUUAUUUAAGUCAACGAGUCAAAAACUAAAACCUUAAUUUACAACGAAAAAGUUUUUUUAAAAAAUAAACAAUCUAAAUGACUACUUUCCUGAGCCUGU